GGAGGACACAGCUGGCUGGCUGCCUGAGGCCCCAGGGUCCUUCCUGGCUCCCUGUCCAGGCUCCACCCACAGUCACAGCAAUGCCUGGAACCUUCUAGGACAGCCAGAUCCUGACCUACCAGUAUGGGAUCCCCACCUCUCUCCGGAACACAGGCCAGCAGUGGGACUUCCCUAAUGGCUGGGCCCCUCUCCAGGACCUGGUCAUCAGAGGCUUGGCCAAGUCAUCUUCACCUCGGACCCAGGAAGUGGCUUUCCAGCUGGCCCAGAAUUGGAUUCGAACCAACUUUGACGUCUACUCACAAAAGUCAGCCAUGUAUGAGAAGUACGACAUCAGCAAUGGACAGCCGGGCAGUGGAGGGGAGUAUGAAGUUCAGUACCGGGAUUGAACUCAGAACCUUGUGCUUGUGAGGCAGGUAUGGCACCACUGAGCUAAACCCCUGGUCCUAGGAUCACUCUGAUUUUGAUUACAUGAAUGAGAUGUAGUGCAUAUUUAUGAAUCUUUAAUUUCUAGUAGGUAAAGGUGACUGAAGGUCAGGCCAGAAGACCCAAAUACUCAGUUGCUGUCACUUAGAGCUUUGAAGAUUUCCUGGUGUUUUGUUAUGUUAUUUUCUACCUCUUUUAGGAAGAUGGAAGAAGAAAUGGCCCUAGAGUAUAGUCCAAACUCAGAUGAGUGGAGGGGAGUGAUUUCCUCAGCCCCUUUUUUCUAACUGCACUAGUUUGCCUGGUCCAGUGGGUUGGCCUGAUGCUCCUGGACCACUAUGGUGACCAGCUGACCUCAGAGACCCAGCUGACUCUCCUGAUGCCCCACUGCCUGGUGGCCACCUUUCUCUCCCACCUCCUGUUCAGCUUCCUGCCAUGGUGGCUAUGGUGGCCACAAGGACCGACCAGGAGGCCACAUGCCCACCUCUAUCUAUCUGCAUGUCCUCGUCUGGCUCCAGCUCCUGCCUCCGUAAACUCCUGCACUACGCUCUCUCCUCCUGCUCCCUUCAGUCACCACCUUCCAACCUGUCUUCUGCUCAUCCUGCACUGGGGGCAGGGCAGUGACCUGGAGGCCAGGGGCUUUGGCCAGGGUUCCUGCUAGAGCCCCUUUACCUCCCUCUCUCUCUCUCUCUCCCUCUUUCUAUUAUAAAUGGUGUUUGAGCGGCCACUUGGAUACAGGCUUUGUGUGAGAAAAAGCUUUAUUCUUGUCCAGGUGUGAACAGGGACUGAAAUUGGGGGCAGAUUUCAGCAGCUAGCUGGGAAGAGCCAAAUUUAUUUCAUCGAUGUGUGGAUAGGCUGACAUCAAGAGAGAGAUAGUAGCAGCUAGCUGGAAGAGAAAACUACGUUUAUAUAGGAUUUGAGAAAGGGCUGUGAUCAUAGGGAAUGUUUAUGACUGAGGGCCCAAGAACAGUCAGCAUGAGUGUGCAGACAAUCACUGGACUUCUUAGUGCCGGGGAGAUUGUAUACUUGGUCCUAAAUUUUCUUUAUGGCCAUCUGUCCUAUUUACUGAGAGUAGCCUGUUGUUUGCAGAGAAUGGCGUGUUUGCUGUGGAGUUCUCAUUUAAGCCAGGCAUGACCCUCUCUCUCUCUCUCUCUUUUUUCUUUUUCUCUUUCUUCUUUUCAGUGCUAGAGCUUGAAACCAGGGCAUCUUGCCUGCAGGCAGGUACUCUACCAGUGAGCUAUACUCCCACCCUAGAACCUUUAAUAUGGUGGAGAUCUUGCUCUGGCAGGUGGGAGGAGACUCAUACCUACUGGCCAUUGUGCCCCAGCCCCACUGCCCCCACAACCUGUCCGUUCACAUACCUACUUAGUCCAAAUACAGUGCUACCUCAAUUUACAAACUUAAUUUGUUCCACAAUCCUGGGGAAGAUGGCUGCGUUCCUGUUUAUGCAGGGAAGAUGGCCACAGUCAUGUUCAUCACCUGAUACAGAGUUCACAAAUGGAAGCAAAAUUUUGCCAAAUGCUUCUGUUUGUGAACAGAACUGUUCGCAAACAGAAGCAUUUGUGAACCAAGGUUUUACUGUAUUCUGCUGAAAUCCUCACAAAUACUGAAGAACACCCGGCCCAGCCCCAAGCAAUCUAGGUCCCCUGGCUAGGGAUGGUGGAUAGGAGAGCUGUUGCUUCAAAGGAGCUUUAGAGAAGGAGUACAUGAUGAUAAAAUAAAAACUUCUUUAUUGUGUUUGGUUUUGGGGAUCAAACCCAGGGCCUUG